UCUCCAUAGGGAAUGGAAGUGCUGCUGGCCACUGAACAGUCCCAAGCCCACAAAUGCUCACCACAAACGUUACUAUUUAAAUCCAGAAGAGAAGGCAGGUGCUUCUUGAUAAAACCAGGGCAGAGUUACAUGGUGUGGAGGAAAAGGGUGGGCUUGAGUUUCUGGCAAGCUCCAUAUGUAAGGGUUAAAAUCACCUGAGGUGAGGGACUCUAAGAGGCGCAGUGCUCAAACCUCCACUUGUACUGACUGUGUGACCUUGAGCAAGUGAUUUCAGCUCUCUGAGCUUCCGAGCUCUGAAGGCCCAGUUAGAUGAUACACCUAGAACACGCCUGGAACGAGAGCGGGUACAUGGCAAACACUAAGGAAGAUCUAGCUACGGUGAUUGCAGUGUCUUCUGUUUAGAGAAGAGGACUGGCUUCUCCUGCACCUGAGGCCUGGAGGGUAAAGCAGAGGAGCAGAAGCAAUAAACAUGGGGUCUUUCAAAAAUUGGCUCAAUUGUCAUCUACAUUUUACAGAGGAGAAAAAAAGGCUCAGAGAUAUAACAUGACUUUCCCAAGGCCACAGGCCUUGAAAGUACAAAUUGGAUCAUCCUUAUCGACACCUUCCUGUGGCAAUCAGAAUAAAACAUCGAUGUCGGACCAGGACCUAAGUGUGAUACGAGUCCUGCUAACAUCUCUGACGACAUUUUUUUUUUUGAGACAGAGUCUCCCUCUGUUGCCCAGUUUGGAGUGCAAUGGUGUGAUCUCGGUUUACUGCAACCUCCAUCUCCUGGGUUCAAGCAAUUCUCCUGCCUCAGCCUCCCAAGUAGCUGGGAUUACAGGCACCCACCACCACACCUGGCUAAUUUUUUGUAUUCUUAGUAGAGACGGGGUUUCCCCAUGUUGGCCAGUCUGGUCUUGAACUCUCGACCUCAGAUGAUUCGCCUGCCUCGGCCUCCCAAAGUGCUGGGAUUACAGGUGUGAGCCACUGCACCUGGCCAUCUCUGACUACAUCUUAAAACUCUCUCUCUCUCACCCAGAAUGUUCCAGUCACAAAAUCAUUUUUAGUUCCUCAAAUACAGUUUCAUUUCCAACUUGGGGCUUUUAGAUAUGCUGUUUCUCUGCCUACCAGAGUGAUCCAUCUGGAUCCUUUGGUCAAACUUUAGCUCAAAUGACGUCUCCUCCAACAAGC
rnacentral:lncRNA from 1 species